UUGGCCGCAGGUCGCUCACUGCCUCCCUCCCCAUCCCGCCCCCGCUGGCAAGUCGGGGCUUGGCAUGGCGCGAGGCGGUCGGUGGCGUGCCUCGGCCUCGAGCGGGAGGCGCGGAGGCGGCUGAAAGGGGCCGGCGGCCCGCCGUUUCCUCAGCGGCUCCUUCGCGGCGGCCGCAGCCCGGUCACCGGCAGGACGGGUUCCCGGCGGGCUAGCUGCCCUUCCCUCUGACUUAGGAUGAAUUGAGAACAUCCACAACAUCACCAAAAGCCUUCUCCUGAAGGCUCUUCAUGAGAAUUUUCUGCUGAAAAUGCCAGUGAGCCACCUCCCUCAGUCUUCCAUCUUCUGGAUGUUAUGUGCUCCCAGUCUUGGGGAGGGUCUCAGGGAAAGGCCAGGUGUGCUCAACACACAUGAUGAUACUCAGAACAACUUGCUUGCCUUAUGCUGCACCCUUUCCCAGAAACCUGCUCUCAGUCCAGGGCCUCUGGGAAAGCUGUGUACUGGAAACCAGUUGGGGUAAAAACCUGGCUGCUACAAUCAGGGCAGAGGCUUGGAUUGAAAUGGUGCAAAUCGGCACAUGGUGACCAUGAGUGAGUAGCGCUGCAUCAAUGCAGAGCAGCUCUGAGUGGGUUUUCUCAGCCUUUUGCCAGCCUGGGUCCAUCUUCGCUGGUUAUGUGAACGUGGGAACCAGCUUUUACACAGGUACUCAAGCCCAAACGGCUCUGCUGAUCUCUAGAGCAGGAGAUUUCUCCAGCCUUUUCAUCAGCAGCUGGCUUUCCUCUUUGAAAUCGUACCUGAUGCGUGUAGGACCUUUCCUCUUUGAAAUCUUACCUGAUGUGUGUAGGACUGGUUGCAGGAUUAGCCCCUGCAAAUGUGCAUGUGAGUCCCGUGUGUGUCACUGUGUUCUGCCUGAAAGAGCUGUUGAUGCAGCUUUUCAUACCACUGAAGGGUACUUGUCAGGAGAGAACUCCGUGGUUUCACUCCAGUGAAUAUAUGUCCAUUUUCGUAAUAGAAAACAAGAGUUGAAUAUGUGAAAGGGAAAAAAUGUCUGAAAUGAAUGAAAAAUUAAAGUCCUGAGCUCGUCUGCCAGACUUUUAAUAUCUCUCAGUCCGUCUCUGCCCAACACAGCUGUGUUGUGCUUUUAGUAAAAUACUUGCUACUCAAAUGGCCAAACUUAAACUAUGAGGUGGGGGUGUUCUGUUUUGUUUUGUUUUGUUUUUUAACACAGCUGUGGAUUUGUGACCCUCAUCCUUCCCCACAUGCUGUUCUGUACUCCAGUCAAUAAGCCCCUUGGGGCUUUUCUUUUUGGAGAGAAUUUGAGACAUUGAGUACUACUUGAAAAAGAUCCUAUCACUAGCCAGAUAUUUGCGGUGUUUAAGUGUGAGUAAAGAUCUGUAGUUUAAAAGUUUAAGUUACAAACUGGAGUAAAAUAUCUGAAAAGGCAAACCUGGAUCUACUCUUCUGAGAACACGGUGAGACGAUGCAUUUCAUUAAAUAGCACACAUCCCGUUUCUGUGUUACGCAUUGGUUUAUUCUGAUGAACUACAAAAGUGUCUACCAUAAAAUUAGACACAGGCACUACUUUGCAAAGUGCCAUAGCUGUACAGAAAUAUAUAUGAGCAUAUACUCAAAAUCUAGAAGUAAGCUAAGCUAGCUGUAACUAACUUGAAACAAAACAUUGGAAGGACAGACAAGGGAUCGGUAAAGAUUUCACUGUAAAUAUAUGGGGAUUUAAGGGUUCGUCUGCUGAAUGAUCUCUUAGCUUCCUUCUCUCUUUUCCACCAGUUUGAUGGUUGCACUUACGAACAGAUUCGUUGUACUUGUAGUGACUUUGAAGAAAGAGAUACAAACUACUGGGUGGAAAAAGCCACCUACUGGUACAGAGAAAUGGUGCCAAGCAGGAUCAGGUACCUCUGAAUUCCAAGGAGAUUUGCUUUCAUAUUGGGCCACCAUGCUGUGGCGUGCUAUAAAGGCUAUUUGGUAUUACUCAUGGGAGUCUGGAAUGUGUAUUACACACAAGCAGGAAACCCACAAAUGUAGUAAAGACAUUUUCUGAAGGACAGCACCACGAAACUUUAUGUUGGAUCAUUGCCUGUUUUAUAUAUAUCCUAUGUAAACAAUAAAAUCUCAUUUAAAGCUGUUUUGGAGAAUUAAAAGAGCAUGAAUGAGUUUGCCACCAUUUUCUUUUCACCUGUCCAAAUAAAUGCAAGAGUUGCUGUAAGUCCAGCAGUGCAGAGCCCAGAAAGAGAAGAAAGCCCAUAAAGCAUCUGUGCUAUUUAUUUUGAAUAAUCUUCAUUAUGUCAUGGCUUUAAAGCACAACAACUUAAUGCCUUCUCAGAGCUGAGGAAGAGCACUGGUUCAGAGCUGUAGCUCCACUCAGGAUC